GCUGCGCGGGGUGAUCUCGGCGAGCUGUGGUCUGCGCGCUCUGGGACUCGGGCAGGCGCUCGCUCGGGCUGCGAUCCUCGCUCGCAGCCUCCGCCGUCUCCUUCCAAGCGGGCUCGGCCCGGUGCUGCCGGCGGCUGGGGCGAUGUGAACCGGGGCCCUCGGGCGCGGCAGGUUCGCCGCGAUGUGGCUCAAGCCCGAGGAGGUGCUGCUCAAGAACGCGCUGAAGCUCUGGGUGACCCAGAAGAGCAGCUGCUACUUCGUCUUGCAGCGGCGCCGUGGGCACGGCGAGGGGGGCGGCCGCCUCACGGGUCGCCUUGUGGGCGCUCUGGAUGCGGUCCUGGAUUCCAGUGCACGCGUUGCUCCGUUUCGGAUCCUGCUUCAAGUCCCCGGGUCCCAGGUUUAUUCUCCCAUAGCAUGUGGUGCGACUCUGGAGGAGAUCAACCAGCACUGGGACUGGCUGGAGCAGAACCUGCUGCACACCCUGUCGGUCUUCGACAACAAGGACGACAUCGCCAGCUUUGUCAAAGGGAAGGUGAAGGCUCUGAUCGCGGAAGAGACCAGUAGCAGACUGGCUGAGCAGGAGGAGGAACCCGAGAAGUUCCGAGAAGCCCUGGUGAAGUUCGAGGCCAGGUUCAACUUCCCUGAGGCAGAGAAGCUGGUCGCCUACUACUCAUGCUGCUGCUGGAAGGGCCGGGUGCCCCGCCAGGGCUGGCUCUACCUCAGCAUCAACCACCUCUGCUUCUACUCCUUCUUCCUGGGCAAGGAACUUAAACUCGUCAUCCCUUGGGUGGACAUCCUGAAGUUGGAGCGGACGUCCAAUGUCUUUCUCACGGACACCAUCCGGAUUACCACACAGAAUAAGGAGCGUGACUUCUCCAUGUUUCUGAACCUGGAUGAGGUGUUUAAGAUGAUGGAGCAGCUGGCAGAUGUGACGCUCCGGAGGCUGCUGGACAAUGAGGUCUUCGAUUUGGACCCUGACCUUCAGGAACCUAGCCAGAUCACCAAGAGGGACCUGGAGGCCAGAGCACAGAAUGAGUUCUUCCGAGCUUUCUUCAGGCUGCCGAGGAAGGAGAGGCUGCACGCUGUGGUAGACUGUUCCCUCUGGACACCCUUCAGCCGCUGCCACACGGCGGGGCGGAUGUUCACCUCUGACAGCUACAUCUGCUUUGCCAGCCGGGAGGAUGGCUGCUGUAAUGUUGUGCUCCCACUGAGAGAGGUAGUAAGUAUUGAGAAGAUGGAGGACACGAGCCUGUUGCCCAACCCCAUCAUUGUCAGCAUCCGCAGCAAGAUGGCCUUCCAGUUCAUCGAGCUCAAGGACAGAGAGAACCUGGUAGAGGGCCUCCUGGUGAGACUGAAGCAGGCCCACGCCAACCAUCCCGUGCACUAUGACAGCUCACCAAGUGACGACGGCAUGACUUCAUCUGUCUUUUAUUCAACAAGCAUGUGCAGUGACAAGUUUGGGGAUCUUGAAAUGGUAUCUUCUCAAAAUGGCGAAGAGAGAGAGAAGGAAAAGAGCCCACUGCCACACCCUGAGCCCCUGACUGUCUUCCAGCAGUCGGGCAGUCAGAGUCCUGACUCCCGCCUGUCCCGGGAGCAGAUAAAAAUCAGUCUGUGGAACGACCACUUUGUGGAGUACGGCAGGACCGUGUGUAUGUUUCGCACUGAGAAGAUCCGGAAGCUGGUGGCCAUGGGGAUCCCUGAGUCUUUACGUGGAAAGCUGUGGCUGCUUUUCUCAGACGCUGUGACGGACCUCGCCUCGCACCCUGGGUACUAUGGAAAUUUGGUGGAGCAGUCGCUAGGCAGAUGCUGCCUGGUGACAGACGAGAUAGAGCGGGACCUGCACCGUUCUCUGCCUGAGCACCCUGCCUUCCAGAACGAAACGGGUAUUGCUGCCUUGAGGCGGGUGCUGACAGCCUAUGCCCACCGGAACCCCAAGAUUGGCUACUGCCAGUCCAUGAACAUUCUGACCUCUGUGUUGCUGCUGUAUGCCAAAGAGGAGGAAGCCUUUUGGCUGCUGGUUGCCGUCUGUGAGCGGAUGCUGCCGGAUUACUUCAACCACCGGGUGAUCGGGGCUCAGGUGGACCAGUCUGUCUUUGAGGAGCUCAUCAAGGAGCACCUCCCAGAGCUGGCGGAGCACAUGAACGACCUCUCGGCACUGGCGUCCAUCUCUCUGUCCUGGUUCCUGACUCUGUUCCUCAGCAUCAUGCCCCUGGAGAGUGCUGUGAAUGUGGUCGACUGCUUCUUCUACGACGGCAUCAAGGCCAUCUUCCAGCUGGGGCUAGCCGUGCUGGAAGCCAAUGCGGAGGAGCUGUGCAGCAGCAAGGAUGAUGGGCAGGCCCUGAUGAUCCUCAGCAGGUUUCUAGAUCACAUUAAGAAUGAAGACAGCCCAGGGCCCCCCAUUGGCAGCCACCAUGCCUUUUUCUCUGAUGACCAGGAGCCCUAUCCAGUGACCGACAUUGCUGACCUGAUCCGGGACUCUUAUGAGAAAUUUGGGAACCAGUCUGUGGAGCAGAUUGAGCACCUGCGAUGCAAGCACAGGAUCAGGGUCCUGCAAGGUCACGAGGACACCACCAAGCAGAAUGUGCUCCGCGUCGUUAUCCCGGAAGUCUCCAUUCUUCCUGAAGACCUUGAUGAACUCUACGACUUAUUCAAGAGAGCACACAUGAUGAGCUGUUACUGGGAGCACCCCAGGCCCAUGCCCUUGCGCCAUGACCCCAGCAGGCCCUAUGCUGAGCAGUACCGCAUCGACGCCCGGCAGUUUGCACAUCUGUUCCAGUUGGUAUCUCCGUGGACCUGUGGAGUCCACACAGAGAUCCUUGCUGAGAGAACCUUCAGGCUCCUGGAUGACAACAUGGACCAGCUCAUGGAGUUCAAAGCCUUCGUAAGCUGUCUAGACAUUAUGUACAAUGGAGAAAUGAAUGAAAAGAUUAAGCUGCUAUACAGGCUUCAUAUCCCACCAGGCGUAUGGGUGUUUUGUCCCAUGUGCAUGCCUGGUACUUGCAGAGGCCAGAGGAAGGUGUCAUCUUAGAUGGUUGUGAGCUGCCACAUGGGUACUGGGAUUAGACCUAAGUCCUCUGGAAGAGCAUCCAUCUCUCCAGCCUAUGGUCAUGCUUUUUAAAACCUUUUGAUUGAUGUUUGAAUGUAGUAUUUCAUUACCCUUCUCCUCCAUCCCUGAUGUUUCUUCUUGGUCACAUAAGCUUUUGUGUUGGUGGAUGGUCUUGAUUUUUUUCAUUCUCAACAUUUUUAAUGUGUGUAUGCACAUACGGAAGUCAGAGGACCGAGUGUCCAUUCUGUCACCAUGUUUCAAAGGGGUCAAUGUUGUUUGCAGCUUUGUACUAUCAGGCUGGCUAGUCCGUACAGAGCUUCCAGGGAUUCUCUUGUCUACAUCUAUCUCCCCACAAGAACACUUGGAACUAUUAAAUAUGUACCAACAUAUUCAGCUUUUACAUGAGUUCUGAAGAUUUGAACUUGGGUCGUUAUGCUUGCAUGGGAAGCCCUCUCCCUAGCUCCUAGCUCCUCCCUUUGCUUUCAAAAAUGUCCUUGUUUUUUUCAACUACAUUGCUGACUCUUUCCCUGGCUUUUUACUGACUUCUUGAUCCCAGAUUUGAAUUGGCUUGUCUUUAUGCUCUUAGACGUAAAUGAUCAUUUUAAAGCAUUUAUAACUUAAGAUGAAGAUGUUUUCCAUUAAGUUUUAAGAGUAUACAUUUCCAUAUAUGUAACAUUUGAUAAUAUAUACCCUUCCCAUUCCUGUUUUAUCUCUUUCUUCUGACCACUCAGUAAGCAUAGCUGAGAUGAGGUGUUAUCUGCAGGUAUGGACACCUGACUAGGAAGGAAAUGUUUCUUCCUCCUCUAACAACUGUUAACUGCCCAUUGGGCCUCAGAGGAAGGGCUAGGACCUUUUGAGCCCCUUUCUCAACAGGAUGAAUGUGCAAUGACCAUGUCUUACCUGCUUAGUUAAAACCAAAGAGCACUGAUGACUGUAGAAUGGAAAAUGGUAACUGUAAAUUGUUAGAAAAUUAUUUAGGGUAAAUGUGGAAUACAAGAAAGAUGGAAGAAAAGCAGUUUAAUAGAAGGAAAACACAGGUGGAGGCAGGGAAGCUGCUACUGAGGGGGAAGAGAAAAGAGCAAGAGAUCAAGAAAAAAAAAAACAAAAGUGUAGGGGAAAGUUUAACUUCUAAAUAAGGAGGUUUGAAAAUGAAGUAAUAAAAAAUAAAAGCAUGAGGUUUUAAAUGUUGGACUAAAAACUAUUAAAAAUACAUAGAUGGAAAAGGUUAUCAAAGUAAUGCCCAAAACGCAUAAACAAAAGUAUAUCAAUGUAUGAAGGGGAAAUGAAAUAAAAAUUUACAGAUUUUUUAAAAGUGAAGCCAGGCAGUAGUGGCUCAUGACCUUAAUCCUAGCACAUGGGAGGCAGAAACAGGAGGACCUCAGGAGUUCAAGGCUAGUCUGGUCUACAGAGUGAGUUCCAGGACAGUCAGGGUUAAAAAGAAAGAAAACUCAGGAAGCAAAGACAGGCCAGAAAAUAAGAUGGGGUAGCUGUUUCCUGGACCCCUGAAGACCAGACUGAAAUUAGAUGCACUGAGGGGGGGGGGGGGUUGGGUCUGGCUGACCAAAUCUUUCUUGUGGCUCUGAUAAAUACUCACACAAAAGCACCUAAAGGGGAAAGUUUAUUUGACUUACAAUUCCAGGUCAUUGUGGGGUGACAGAAACCCAAAGCUGUCACAUCACAAGAACAGGAAGUAAUGAAUUAAUGCAUGCCAGUGCUCAGUUUACUCUCCCACUCAUGGGAAGGAACCUCAAACUCUCCGAAUGGUGCUACCCAGGGAAUCUUCCCACCUGUUAGCCCAAUUAAGAAAUCUCCCAGAAAUGGCUGUCCAACUUAAUUCUAUUCUUAAGACACACUUUUCAGGUGAUUCUAGACUGUAAAAUUGAGUUUAAAACCAAUGUUGGUAUUGUGCCUCUACUGGACAAGUGUCUUUACUUCAGGGCUUGUCACGAUAGCACAUCCAUUUGCUAGCUUUGGUGCAGCAGCGAGCCCACCAGUGGAUGGGACAAACCUACCCCAUAGACUGCAAAACUGUAGAUCAAGAGAUUUGAAUAUCAAAAGUAAUAAGCUCUGGUAUGCAAAAACAACUUGUCUAAGAACAGCACUAAUGUAAGCAGCAAACGAACAACAAGGGAUAGGACUGCUGUCUCUAGCUUACAUUGGGUGUCAGGUGACAAAAGCUAUCUAUCAAAGUCUGGAAUGGCAAGUUUCAAAUAACUAAGUGAAACAUAGUGAAAGCUCUACCCAUUUAUAGUAUCUAACCACAAACUACAUAUGCACUGAGACCCAUCACCCUAAAACGAACCCCCCAAUGCCCCCGACCAUUCCAUGUUUAUGCAGCCUUCUGCAAUCUGUUGUUGCCUAUUCCAUGUUUUUUAAGUGGCUAUAGCGUGCACCACUAUUGUCUGGCUUCUGCUGAUAACUGUGUUCAGUUGGUCCAUGUUGUAGAAUCAGUCCUUCUUGGCCAGGAGUGUCUACUGUGGCUAUGACCACCACUGCUGCUGUGGUUGUGUUGCUAUCAGUUUUGCAUAAAAAUCUUCCAUACUCGCCGGGCAGUGGUGGCGCACGCCUUUAAUCCCAGCACUCGGGAGGCAGAGGCAGGCGGAUCUCUGAGAGUUCGAGACCAGCCUGGUCUACAGAGCUAGUUCCAGGACAGGCUCCAAAGCCACAGACAAACCCUGUCUCGAAAAACCAAAAAAAAAAAAAAAAAAAUCUUCCAUACUCCCAAGUAGACUACAGAAGUGGGAAUUCUGGGUUUAACCUUAAAAAAAUGUAUAGGCAUUUUUGCCUGCUGCCUAGAGGCCAGAUCUCCUGGUACUGGAGUAUAUAUAAUAUAUACAAACAAAUAUGUGCUCUUAACUGAAGGCUUUUUUGUUUUGAUACUGGGUCUAGACCUCAUGAUGUAGAUAUUAAGAGAUCUGCCUUCCUCCGCUGGGAUUAAAGGUGUGAACCAUAUUUACCUAAGUUUUUGAGAAAUGGCAAAUUUUUCAAACUGAUUAAACCAUUUUAUUACUAGCAAUGUUUGAAACUUCUGAUGUUUUACUUUUAGUGCAAUUCAAAGAAACCAGUGUGGUGGUUUGAGGCCAAUUGGUCUACGAGCCACACAAACCCUGUCUUGAAAAACCAAAAAUCACCAAUAUGAUGUUUGGAAGUCAGCACUACUUUAAAACAAAAAUUAAAAAAAAAAAAAAACCCUACAUGAUGUAAGAAGCCAGAGAUAGGUGGAUCUCUUCAAGUUCUACAACUGCCAGGGCUACGUAAAGACGCUGUCUCAAAACCCUCCUCCAACCAAGAGCCCCCACUUACACCAUCUAAAUAUACUGAUUAUAUGCUCACUGUAAUUAAUACAUUGUCUAGAUAAGUUUAUUCAUAGUAUUAGAAGGGGUUUGCUAUGUUAUCUCAGAACAUCAGACAGAAUUUGCCUACUUCAUUUGGCUUUAAAGGCUCUUUACAAUAUUGGAACUGUUGGCUUAGUCUUUGUCAGUUAAACAGAAACUAUGUUCAGUUUUAACACUUCUCUUUUAAGCACUCACUGAAAAUGACAGAGACAGUCAGUCACCACUGAAGAAUCCUCUGCUGUCAACGUCAAGACCCUUGGUAUUGGGUGACACAAUUGAUUAUCAAA